GUGAUUGAUACAUGGUGAUAUGGUUUGGCUGUGUCUCCACACAAAUCUCGUCUUGAAUUGCAGCUCCCAUAAUUCCCACCUGUUGUGGGAGGGACCCUGUGGGAGAUAAUUGAAUCACGGGGGCAGUUUCCCCCAUACUGUUCUCAUGGUAGUGAGUAAGUCUCACCAGAUCUGAUGGUUUUAUAAGGGGAAACCCCUUUGGCUUGGUUCUUAUUCUUUCUUUUGUCUGCUGCCAUGUCAGAUGUGCCUUUUGCCUUUUGCCAUAAUUGUGAGGCCUCCUCAGCCGUGUGGCACUGUGAGUCCAUUAAGCCUUCUUUCUCUUUAUAAAUUACCCAGUCUUGAGUAUGUCUUUAUCAGCAGUGUAAAAACGGAUGAACAUACACCUCCCACAGACAGGAACCAAAGCCAGCAGAACAAAGCAGCCCCAGAUGUGUUCUACUCUAUUAUCUGAAGUAAAUGAAAAUCAACCCUGAGGAAUGUGUAGACGGAAGCAGUUCAUCCUGGGAGGUGAGAAUGAGCAUUGAAAGAGCCAUCCGUGAAACCGUAAGGCUGGGAAAGAGAAGUGAAGGGGCACAUGGAAGUGUUCAUCUCUGGGGCAGGGAAAAACAAUCCGGAGAAGAUGAGUCACACCUCAUUUGUAACCCAUGAAUGAAAAUCAAUACUGUUACUUAUCAUAAAUUACACUGAACAUAGUGCUUACACUUGAGUAUCAAUGCAGUAAAACCACUAUGAGCCAAUUGAUUGACUUUUCUAGAUCCCAAUUCUAUCAUUCAUCUUCUGGUAUUCAUCUUCUGGCUUAGCUACUAUUUCCUGGCACAGAUUCUUAAUAAAGAUCCUUUCUCCUUGGUCCCAGA
rnacentral:lncRNA from 1 species